rnacentral:rRNA from 1 species
AACGAACGCUGGCGGCAGGCUUAACACAUGCAAGUCGAGCGCCCCGCAAGGGGAGCGGCAGACGGGUGAGUAACGCGUGGGAAUCUACCUAGCUCUACGGAAUAACCCAGGGAAACUUGGACUAAUACCGUAUACGUCCUUCGGGAGAAAGAUUUAUCGGAGUUAGAUGAGCCCGCGUUGGAUUAGCUAGUUGGUGGGGUAAUGGCCUACCAAGGCGACGAUCCAUAGCUGGUCUGAGAGGAUGAUCAGCUACACUGGGACUGAGACACGGCCCAGACUCCUACGGGAGGCAGCAGUGGGGAAUAUUGGACAAUGGGCGCAAGCCUGAUCCAGCCAUGCCGCGUGAGUGAUGAAGGCCCUAGGGUUGUAAAGCUCUUUCACCGGUGAAGGUAAUGACGGUAACCGGAGAAGAAGCCCCGGCUAACUUCGUGCCAGCCGCCGCGGUAAGAC